GCGGGUAUAGUGUAGUGGUUAACACGUCUGGUUGUGGCCCAGAAGACCGUGGGUUCAAAUCCCACUACUCGCC
rnacentral:tRNA from 1 species